GAUGAACGCUGGCGGCGUGCUUAACACAUGCAAGUCGAACGGAAAGGCUCUUGCUUGCAGGGGUACUCGAGUGGCGAACGGGUGAGUAACACGUGUGUGAUCUGCCCUGCACUUUGGUAUAAGCCUGGGAAACUGGGUCUACUACCGUAUAGGAUGAUGGUUUGGAUUCCAUUGUGGAGAUCUUUUCGGCUUGGGAUGGGCUCGCGGCCUAUCUGCUUGUUGGUGGGGUACUGGCCUACCAAGGCGUCGACGGGUAGCCGGCCUGAGAGGGUGUACGGCCACAAUGGGACUGAGAGACGGACCAGACUCCUACGGGAGGCAGCAGGGGGGAAUAUUGCACAAUGGGCGCAAGCCGGAUGCAGAGACGCCGCGUGGGGGAUGACGGCCUUCGGGUUGUAAACACCUUUAGCUAGGGACGAAGCGCAAGUGACGGUACCUGGAGAAGAAGCACCGGCUAACUACGUG
rnacentral:rRNA from 1 species